rnacentral:ncRNA from 1 species
AAUUGUUGAGUCGGGAAUGGCUCCCGACACUUCCUGAUAAGGGAACCUGAGAAGCAAGAUACGCCUCCCUGUCAGCAAUC